rnacentral:rRNA from 1 species
ACGGGGGGUGCAAGCGUUGUUCGGAAUCAUUGGGCGUAAAGGGCGUGUAGGCGGCUAGAUAAGUCAGAUGUGAAAUCCCUGGGCUUAACCCAGGAAGUGCAUUUGAAACUGUUUGGCUUGAGUAGGGGAGAGGAAAGUGGAAUUCCUGGUGGACGAGUUGAAGUCGUAGUGAUGAGGAGGAACACCGGUGGCGUAGGCGACUUUCUGGCUCUAUUCUCACUGUGCGCCGCAUAAGCGUUUGUAGCAAAAAG